rnacentral:ncRNA from 1 species
CAACCUCAACUCAUAUGGGACUACCCCCUGAAUUUAAGCAUAUUAAUUAGGGGAGGAAAAGAAACUAACAAGGAUUUUCUUAGUAGCGGCGAGCGAAAAGAAAUCAGUUCAGCACUAAGUCACUUUGUCUAUAUGGCAAAUGUGAGAUGCAGUGUACGGAACAUCAACAUUCUAGUAUGAGAAGUUAACGAUUUAAGUCCUUCUUAAAUGAGGCCAUUUACCCAUAGAGGGUGCCAGGCCCGUAUAACGUUAAUGAUUACUAGAUGGUGUUUCCAAAGAGUCGUGUUGCUUGAUAUUGCAGCACUAAUUGGGUGGUAAACUCCAUCUAAAACUAAAUAUAACCAUGAGACCGAUAGUAAACAAGUACCGUGAGGGAAAGUUGAAAAAAACUCCGAAUAAAAAGUUAAAUAGUACGGGAAACUGCUUAGAGGUUUAGCCCGAAGACCCUGAUAUUCCGUUUGGAAAAUUCUCAUUUAAAUUGGAAUAUUUUAAACAAUAUUUAAAAAAUGGGGGGCUUUUUUCCCUAUAAGGAAAUUGAAAUCCUUUAACAAAAAAAUUUUUCCAAAAUUUUGUCCGAUUGCCUUUUUGAAAUUAUGGCCGGGGCUUUUUAAAAAAAAAAAAAAAAAAAAAAAAAUUUGAAAAAAAGGGCCAAAAAAAAUUUUAAUUAAAUAUAAGGGGGCGAUAUUUUUUU